CAUACACCUUGAGCGGGGUCGUCUAGAAAAUGUUUGGAUCCAGUUGGCAGCACGGUCAAUUGGCAUCAGUUGGACAUUUUGCACAUUUACUAUACGCAAUUUGUAAUUUGUUUGAAACUUUAAGUUGCAUUUAACGAAACGAAUGAACAGGGUACAGAAGUAUAGCAAAGGCAUUUUUACUGGCAAAAGUAUCCCUUUGUGUGGAUUGAGAAAAAUACAUAAGCAGUUUUUAAAAUAGUUGCCGUAUUCCAAAUCGUGGUGCAUUUUUGUGUGUGAUGGAUAAAGAGACGCAGUUUUCGUGAAGUUGUAUGCAUUAAGCAAUCAUAACAGCAUAUUACACUAAAUCCGAGAUAUGCGGUUGAUGAAAUUCGGCAGUGCUUUAAACACAAUUUCGAAUGGAAAUUAACACGUUCAGCCCUGCGCUGAUUUUCAUCAACUUUCCGUUCCGCCGGAAUCUAGAACGCUAGCAGUUGACUGUAAACCGAAUGUGCAAAAUUGAGUUUUUUUUUUAGCUAAACUUAAAACUGUGCUCUGUUCACCAAUACUGUUAUGUGUGGGAUGAUGUUUUUAUCAACCAAAAUUAUUCUCACAACAUUAUUUUAUUUGCCCACUGCUGCUGUUCAAGCGAGUAGAGUACAGUUUUCAAUGUAUGUUGUUUCCAUAGCAUAAUACGAUUGGCAGGUCCCAGGGAAUCAGCUUCGGAAUCGAUUACGUCAGCGGUCGGCAAACUUUUGAGGCAAAGGGCCAACUUCAGUAAAUGAUCGAGUGCCGCGGGCCAGGUGAAUGCGGUAUUUUUAUUAUUGCGCUUAAAUGAUUACAUUUUAAUCUUUUACAAACAGUUCAGGUGUUAUUGUUGUUUUUCUGUAAUUAAAUCAUCAAAAUGCGGUUCAAAAUUAAUGAUACCGACUUUAAAAACGAAUUGUAAUAGUAGUCAUUUGAGAAUCAUCAAAACAUGACCAAACAUUUGAUCAGUGAAAAAAUAACAAAAAGGGAUUAAUGUCGCUUCUUAAAGACCCCUCCUCACACGCCGCAAAAAAAUAUUGAAUAUAUUCCGGGUAUGAUACAAAAGUCUGAACGGCUGAAAAAUUAUCGAAGCAAACAUAGAUUCAGUAAUUAUAAAAAUGCUUUAUGGACAAGUCAGAUGUCAUACCAUGUCAGAUCAAUUGAUAACCCAAAUGACAAUCCAGCCUGCUCUCACUAUGGCGAGCUCAAUGACAGCUGCUUCAACCCAUACUGAGAGGCUAUCAUCGUUUCCUCCUGCGUACUGAGCAAGCUUGUUUUUUUCCCCUCGCUGAGGCCAGAUGAUUUUGUUUGUAUGGUGAGUAAAUCUAUCGCCGAUGAUUGCUCUAAUGAGAUGAUCAAGCAACAGCCGCUCACAUGAUGAAAUCAUGAUGAGGUCGGAUUUUGGAGUGAGUAAAAAUUUCUUCCCCACAUCGAGCCGCCAUUGUGUUGUGGUUUUAGGAGAACAUUGGAUCAUCUACGAAUUGUUUACAUUUGUAAAACGAGCAAUAAUUGACCGCGGUCUACAUUUCUCGAUUCUUUUGUUGAAAGCGCAUAUCAAAUAUCCCAAAUCAGUUAAAAUAUAGUGAAAUGUUGUAUCGGACACACGAUGCUUUGAAGAAAACGUGAGGGCAAACAUGGGAAGAUGAUGAACAUCUUACCUUACUAAUAGUUGAUUUACAGCCUCUAGGUAAGUGUAAAACACCCAACAGAGUGCUGUUGUCAAUGUAAAAAAAGUUUUUAAAUUGCAGAGGGUGAUUCUUUCUCCGUCACACGCAUCAACAAAACAUGAAGCAGCGUUUAACGAUGAAGAAGAUACCCAGUUGUGCGAUAACCAUUAACGUUGAAAAUCAAGAGGAAUACAUGGAUUGAAAAUACUUAAAGAGAAUACGCACCGAGUCGAAUUUAAAACGGAAAAUAAUGGUCCACAAAAGGCGAAAAUAAUGGCAAAGGAAACGAGUGCGGCUGGGCCGCAAUACCAUCCAAUAUUUCAUGAAAGGCCAUGUUUUGGAUUGCCAUGAUUGUUAGCAAUGGCGGAUUAAGACGAAUGGAGGCCCUAAGCGGUCACACAAAAGUAGAGGCUUGGUUGAAGCGUCUAGCAGGGGAUUGUAUCAAAUAUCCCAACCAGAGAAGGAUUGAGUAGCAAUUAUGCUUGUGAGCGGAUGGUAGGUGCCAUUUUUGGGGCCCCUGGCCGACCCAGAUGUUCGACGCUUAAACAACUAAAUACACAUUAAAACUGAAGGAAAUACACAUCUAAUCAAUUACUUUAAAAAAUAA